rfam:Vigna angularis cultivar Jingnong 6 chromosome 2, whole genome shotgun sequence.
CCGAAGUUUCCUUCAGGAUAGCUAGAGCCCGCAGGCGAGUUCUAUCGGGUAAAGCUAAUGAUUAGAGGUAGGACGGUGCGACUGCUCUGUUGAGCCGUGCAACGAAAUCGAGAGCUUCAAGUGGGCCCUUUCUGGUAAGCAGAACUGGCGAUGCGGGAUGAACCGAAAGAGGCAAUAACAGG